rnacentral:lncRNA from 1 species
ACCAUUAAAAGGAAAAAAAACUAAAAGAAGACAUGCCAAUGUACAAGUUACAUCAUAAUUUAUGCAUUAUUUCGAACAAAUCUCAUAAAACCUUCAAGGUUUGGAGGUGGCUGUGUUGGCGGUGGAGAGGGAUUGGAAGAACCCUAGACUAUAUCUUCUUCUUCUUGAAAAACCCUAGCAGCCAUAAGCCUUCUUCCUCACCAUAUCAAGAAUCUCAAGAAUAGAGAAACCCUAGAAAACCAAGACAGCCGCCACCUUCAUCAGCAACCAAGAAGCCAUGGCCUAGCUCUUCAUCUCCCUCUUCAGUCCCAUCGCCCGCCACCAUCCAACACCAUGUUCACCAAGCUCCAAACGACCAUCUCCGUUGCACUACCGGAAAACGACAACGACCAACACCUCCAGUCAUCAUACCCCACGUCCAAAUGACCAUUGCCUGCUGCCAUGAACAACCAUCGAGCAACUCCAGCUCAAACACAAAUCACCAGCGACCAGACCUCUUCAUCUCUCGCACAAAAGAGAACCGAACCAGACCUCAUCUUCACCCUACUCUUCGCCACUUGCCACCCAUACACGCAGACACAGUAGAGGGGAAACGGACGAGGGAACAGAGGUAAAAAAAAUUCACAUAUACACAUUUAGAAAUACACAGUCACGCAUAGAGAUUAGUUCACCCUCCCCCUCACUCACCCGUAUCCAGCAACACACACACACACAAGUUUAGGAUUCUUCUAAAAAAUCAAAUUUGGGAAUUCAAUGUUACAAAGAAAAAUUGCACAACUCCGAAAGAUCUGAAAAUCGAGAAAAGAUUUCUGAAAAUCUAGAUUUCCAAGGGGUUCUUGAGGUCGAAAUUUGCUGCCUGGUUGCUGAAGUUUUCCGAUCCCGUGUGAUUUCAGUUGAGGUUUUUCGGUCAAGGUCCGACUGAGUUAAUAAGUUUUGCGAUUCAAAGCUUUUAAGGUUUGGAGUUUGCUGUUUUGGUUGCCGAUUUGAGUUUCGCUCGCGGUUUUGGAUUCGUCUCAUUGUUGUCUCCUUCGUUCGGAUCUUCUUUUUUGCAUUGUUGUUGGUAUCUGCUCGAAAUUCAGUAUAAAUUCUAUUCAAUUUUUCAAGGGAAAAUUGCUUCACGCUAAAGGUUCAUCUCUCUUCCCUUAUAAUUGUUUCAAAUGAGUUUUAAUUAAAUUCCGUGAAUACUUGUUUGCCUUUAUUUGUUUGUUUGAUCGAUAUGAAUUGGUUUCCAUGAUCAGUGAGUUUGAUUUCGUAUCAUGUUAAGUUGAAAUGAGAUUAAUGGUGUUAUGCUUGAUGUGUUGCCAGGUUAAUCACUAGAAGCAAUCGUGGGUUUCGGGUAGAACAUUAAACUAUUGCGUUUUAUGUAAUCUCCUAACCUCGUUUCUAUUUUAUCCAUUUGGGGCCGCUAGGAGCAUGCUUAGGCCGAUCACAUUUGGGUAGGCAAGCUUUAGGAUUUAGUUAGUUUUAAGGCAAGGGGUUGUCCCUCAGUUGAAUUUAUCCGGGGAAUGCCCCUUGAAGUUUGUAAAUAUCAUUAUCCGGGGUAUGCCCCGAAGACCAAUGUAAAUAUUUUGGAGGCCUUGAUGAACACGGCGGAGAAGUCGUAGUAUAGGUUAGCUUAGGAUUUUUCUUUUCCUCCUAAUUUUCUUUCAUUUAGGUUGGGACGACCUCGAGCCUCUUGUGUGUUUAUUUUGUUUUUGUGUGUUUUACCUCAAUUUGAAUGUUUUGAAAGCCAACAUGAUCGAAUACGCAACCGUACUAGUUACGGGACUUGGGGAGUGCCUAACACCUUCUCCCCGAGUCAAAUAAACCCACUUACUUGAAUCUCUGGUGCGGACUAAGUUUUGAGUCCAAGUGUUUUAAAAGGAAAAAUUAUUUUUAAAAAAUCGUGACAUGGCACACCAAAACAAAUGUCAGGUGGCGACUCUGAGUUUAUUUCCUUUUGAACACCAUUUUUGUCACUUUCUAUAUUGAAAACCCUUUUUCAAGCUUUACUAAAUAUUUUUAUUUAUUUAAGGGGUUUAGUAGAGUUUGGUUUCAAAAAGGGGUGUGACAUCUCUGGCGAUUGUGCUGGGGAGUUGCAGGUUCGAGCUAAUAUUUGAUCUUGUUGGCUUUUAGGAUGUUCGGUUGAGGUUUUUAUGUGUUUUGUUUGCUUUAUGUGUGACAUUUCUGGCGACUCUGCUGGGGAGUUGCGGGUUCGAGCUAGUACUUGAUCUUGUUGGUUUUUUAGGAUAUUCAAUUGAGGUUUUUAUGUAUUUUGUUUGUUUUGUUUGCUUUUUAUUUUGCUUACGUCAUUUUAUUAUUUGCUAGUUGCUUAUUUGUUUACAGUUUUGCUUUAUGUGUUUACUGCUUAAAACUGUCAUCAUAUGCAUUGCCUGGUCAAUUCUUUCAGCAACAAGUCUCGGAGUACGCGUCGCGUGCACGAACUCUUUGUUGAGUCACUCUUAAUUUAGGAGGGGGGAUCGUCGUACAUAUGGAGUGGGUGGAAAUCUUGAGCAACCACCAUCGACCAUACGCUCCCCCGAAUUGCCUUGUUAGUGAACCCCAAACUUAGGUCAGCCUUUAAGUCAUUUUUAUUUGCAUCAUGUCAUUUACACCUAGUAGGGCUCGGUCCCUGGUACCGUAUCCUUUUGUAUGGAGCCUCUCCAAAUUUUGUCAAAAUGGGCCCGUGGUCCAAAAAGACAUUAAUCAUCCAUGUGUCAUACAUGUUGCAUAUUUGAGGGUAAAAUGUCAUUAGGCGGACCCAUGUUUGGAAAGAAAGGUCAAAAAUGAAGCAAGCAGGGCCCAUUCACAUUUUUCUUUCAUAGUCUUUCAAAAAUAAAAAAAUAUAAUUAAAAAUAGAAACUCAAAAAAUAUUGUACAUUUUCCAUCAUUUUCAAAAAAAAUGAAAAUAGAAAAUACGGAAAAAAUUUACACUUUGCCAUCUUUUUCCCAUAAAUUCACAAAAAAUAAAAAUGAAAAAUUCAAAAGAUUUUACAAUCUUCCAUUAUAUUCCAAAAGUUCAAAAAAAGUAGAAAAUGAAAAAUCCAAAAAGAUUUCAUACUUUUUCAUUAUUUUUCAAAAAUUCAAAAAAAAAGUAGAAAAUAAAAAAUUCAAAAAAGAUUUUAUACUUUUCCAUUAUUUUCUAAAAAUUCAAAAACAAAGUAGCAAAUGACAAAUCCAAAAGAUUUUACACCUUUUCAUUAUUUUUCAAAAAUUCAAAGAGUAGAAUAUGAAAAUCCAAAAAAGAUUUUAUACUUUUCCAAUAUUUUCCAAAAACUCAAAAAAAAAGAAAGUAGAAAAUGAAAAAAAAUCCAAAAAGAUUUUGCACAUUCCAUCAUUUUUUCAAAAAAGACCAAAAAUAGUCUUUAUUUCAAAUUAGAUGCAUUUUUUUCUUUAUCCUAUAUUUAAUCCUUUCAAAUUAGAUGCAUUUUUUUUCUUUAUCCUAUAUUUAUUAACGACGCGAACCUGAUUCUCGUCUUCCGGGGCGAGAUACGUAGGCAACCACAUAGGGUCCGGUUUUCCUAGUCUUAGAAUCUUGCCUUUACGGGGUCUUAGCCAAAUCUUACAUGUCUAGCCACUUGUGGCCAUAUCGGCCAUCGUUGCAAAAUGGGUUCAUUUUCGCAAAAGUGGUUCAAUAACCUGUGUCUUAAGAUUUUGAGUCUACAACUAGGUGUCAUUAUUUUAAGGUCUUUCCUUUUGAGUUUGCAUAUUCAGCCACCUUUGGCCAUAUCGGCAUUUUUUCGAAAUGGGUCAUUUCUGCAAACCAAUUUUGAUUCUUAAAAGUUAGAAUUUAUUAGUGAGCUAUUCCCGUGUCUUUAAGGUCACCUUUUUGAGUUUGCAUUGUUAGCCACUUUCGGGCCCUCAGGUCAUUUUGCAAAAAUAGCCCAACCGUCUCCUAGGAAAUAUUGUGGCGUCACAUGUAUCUCGAGUCACUAACUCUAUUUGAUCAUAUUUUUUCCAUUCAGGUAUGCAGCAAUUUACUAGAGCUCGAGCAUGAUAAAUACCUCAGGACCACUCCAUUCAGGAGCUACUUGAGGAGCCUUUUUAUAGUUUGAGCAUGUUUUUGAGUCUUUUAGGUGGUUUAAGAGUUUAUC